UGGACAGACUAUUGUAUUCAACUGUAUUUGACUGUAUUCACAGCAUGAAACAAGGGAUUAGAUUGUUUUUAAAUAGAAAGUGAAUCAAUUAACAUAAUAGACUCCU
rnacentral:pre_miRNA from 1 species